CAGCCGCCGCGGGAAUACAGAGGGUGCGAGCGUUAAUCGGAUUUACUGGGCGUAAAGCGUGCGUAGGCGGCUUUUUAAGACGGAUGUGAAAUCCCUGAGCUUAACUUAGGAAUUGCAUUCGAUACUGGGAAGCUAGAGUAUGGGAGAGGAUGGUAGAAUUCCAGGUGUAGCGGUGAAAUGCGUAGAGAUCUGGAGGAAUACCGAUGGCGAAGGCAGCCAUCUGGCCUAAUACUGACGCUGAGGUACGAAAGCAUGGGGAGCAAACAGGAUUAGAGACCCCCGUAGUCCCUGUCUCUUAUAC
rnacentral:rRNA from 1 species